UUUCUACCUUUGUGAUUGAUGAUUAAUUGUUACAGAUGAACAAUCGAACAACUCUGCUAAUUAAUUGUUCAAAUUUAUAUUCAUCUACAUUAUAUUGGUGAUAUUUAAUUUAUUGUCUUCUUUUGGUUUGGUGAUUUUAUUGUCGACGCCAUUUUGAUUUCCUUGUGUUUCCCUUUUGGAUUUAUCAUUUUUUUUUUAUUCUUUUUGCUUGUUUGAUUAUUUUUUUAUUGUGCCGAUUUGUUUAAUUACAUGUUGGUUAAUUAAUCGACAAUAACUAAAAAAAUCAUUGGUAAUAAUAAUUGUGUUCUUUUUACAUUUGUGUCAUUGAAUUGUAUUUCUAUUAGUAAUUAUAGUUGAUCGUCAAUCAAUUACAUUAUCAACUAAUUGUUUUAAUCGAUUAACUAUAUUUGAAUUUGGCGUUAAAAUGAUUUUCCCUCCAUCUUUAAAUUACUCAAAGUUCAUCUCAAUUUCUGAAGGAAAACAAAAUUCUCAAAGUUCAACGUUUUCAAUAUUCCAACAUUGAUCUUUGAUAUUCUAUUGGUAAACAAAAUGGCUGCCAAAAAAAAAGGGUCAAAAAGGAAACCUCAUAUGAUACAAUCGUCAAUAAUAAUAACCUUAGGUGGUUCGGUUGAUUAGGUUUGACUAGAAAACAUAUCAAACAUGAUGAGUGAUUCCAUUGAAUUGACAAUGAAUGGAAAUGUAUAAAUAUAAAAUCAAUCAGCAACAUGACCAAUUUCCAUGUGAAUCUUAUCAUUGGAAAGAAUCCAAUUCAACUAAAAUGUUACGUCCCUUGUGUUGAAAUAUAUGAUUCUUUUGAUACAAUAUUAUCAUUGAUGACAAUGGAUUAACCAGGAACAUUAAGCUGACAUCAGCUUUACGGAUCACGUUGAAUCUACACACGAGAAGCUAAUGACUUUUUCUUUACCAUAAGUUCAAGUUGACUGAACUAAAUCACCUUUACAUCAAUUUCACCAGAAUUUCAUCUAAUUUGAUAUAAUUGAGCUGAUACAAUCGUUAAUGAAGAUACACUUGUAUAUAUACAAUUACUUCCCUUUGAUAAUUUGAUACAAAGAUUAUCUAGUAAUUUUUGCCCAUUACCAAUGAUCCAAGUGAAAGUUAUCACGAUAUGUUGGGAUGAAAAUGUUCACUUUGGUUAAAUUGUUGCUGUUGUUUUCCAAAAAUCAUUUUCCAAUCAUCAUCAUUAAUGAAAAUUGCUGUUUAAAGGUUAAUCGGUUUUUUAACCUUCUAAAUGUAUAUUUAGUGAUUUUCCAUUGACUAUCAAACACUUUCACGCUUAUUGUGAGAUAUAAGAAAGGAGAUGUUUUAACCAAUUCCCUUUAUACACCUGAAUUACUGAAUAAUCCAACAACACACCAAUCAAGGUAAUUCUGAUUGAUCAACUUUCAAUUUCCAGACUAAUGACUUCUCAACUUAAUUGACCUUUGUCUCUAUACUAAAUUAAUUAUCUUCAUAAACUUGAAAUUACCGGAACCAUUAAUGAUUAACUGUUACUGAUAUUAAAUCGCUGGCUAAUUGUUAUUGUUAACAAAUUUGGUAUUAACUUUCAUCAACCUUAUGAUUAAAAUUGGAUUUUAAUUCAUUAAUAAGUUUUGGGGUGUCUCAAGUGAGUGGAAAUUGGUUCAAAAGUUGUUAAUCUCUUUAAUCAUUAUCAUUAUUAGACGAAAUUGGUUUCAGAUUAAACAUUAAUCUCAGGAAAUUAACAAAAUUAAACCAACCAUUUAAUUUUUUGUUGCAAAUUGCCGAGAUAUGAAACAAUUAAGUGAAAACUUAACGUUACCAAUUAACAUAUCAGUUGAUUGUCCUUUGUGUUUUUCAAUAGACCAACUAAUUAACAGCUAUAAUUUUAAUCAUCUUACAAAUAUCAGGAUAAACUUUAAGUAUCCUGAUUGUAAUCAAUGAUUAUAAUCAACAGUUUCAAUGAGAAAAUUACAACUUCCAUUAGCAAAAUAUUGAACAACUUAAAUUGAGGUAACAAUUAGACUAAUCGUCAGUCUCUUCCAUCUGAUUAUCACAACAAUUAAAUUUAAUUGUGCUGCUGAUUCAAUGAUUAUCGUCAAUAGCUAUUGUCACCUAUUAUUAUUAUGUUCAAAUGGCCACAAAAAGUAAUUGAAUUAAUUGAAUUCUAGGAAAGAUCAGUAAUUUAUUUGAUUGAUUUGAAGUGAAUCAAGAAAAUAUAAUAAUUCUGAUUGAAAUAUCAACCACCAUGAAACAAAAAUUCAUGUAGGUGUGAAUAACCAGCAAUCAAAAUGAUUGUGAAAAUUUCUGAACAUUUUUGUUGAUUCAGUUCAAUAAUAAAUGAAUCCGAUUCAUCUGAUUAUCAAUUAUCAGGGUGAAUAAUUUGAUUCCUAUGAAUUAAUCUAGAGAUUAAAAUAUAAACACCAUGAGCCUCAAUCAAUUUGAUUGUGACUGUCAAACUAGAUUAAAAUCAACUUGAAAUAUGUAAUUUCAAAUUCAGUAAACUUCCGAUAGAUUCAUGAGCAUGAUGAUAAUAUGAUGAGGGUGAAAACUUGACAAGAAUCGGAAGUGAAUAGGAAAAUAACCAAAAAUGAGAAUCGAUGAUGAUUCCCAAACUAAUAUUAUUACUGUUAAAGAUAAUCUUUAUAUUCAUCUAAUUCUGAUUAUUAUUUGAAAGUGAAAAGUUAUCAUGAUUUUCAUGUGACAUUUUCAUGGUAAAAAAUGAUAAUAGCUAAAAGUUUCCAAGCUGUUGAGUGUCAAUGAGAAUCAAUUUUAUUACCAUGAUAAAAACCAUCGAGUUUCAAUCCUGUUAAUGUUUAAUCAAAGAAAAAGAUGAAGAUUAAGUUAAUCAGAUAAACAACUGAAUAUCAUCAACGACACUUCAUUGAUCAUCCUCUUGACCAUUGGUCAAACUAAUCUAAUAUACAAUAAAUGUCAUGAUGAUGAUCUUUAUUUUUAGAAAGGAAGAAAAAAAAAGUUCCUACUUGAUGAUUAACUAUCGGUGAAAAUAAAUAAGGAAACAUGAUGAAGGAAACACUUUUCAUCCUCAUCAGCUUCAGAUGAUGAUAAUUGAUCUUUACCUGUUCAGUAUUUCAGGUGAAAAACUUUUAUACCACCCAAAAGGAUAUUAAAUGAAUACUGAUAUUUAUUCAUGUGAAAGUAAUGAAACCUCAUGAAAAAAUGAUUUUUUCCAACGAUAAUUGAAAUUUUUGCUCAUUCAAUCAACAGAUUCUCAUGGUAACUCUGGUUUAAUUAUUGUUUCAGUUUAAUCCUCUAACCAAAGGGAUUAAUGAUUAUCUAAUCAACAUGUUGCCAUUAUCAUGUAAUCAUUAUUUCAUAAUUGAUUUUUAUAUAAUUGUGCUUCUUGAAUUUUGAUUAAUUACAUGUACAGGUAGAGAAAUGAAAAUUCAAGGUUAUAUUCAGUUCAAUUGUGUAAUCAGAUUAAUCUGAUACAUGAGCAAAUUAGUUUCAUCAAUGAAAUCACUGAUUUUUUCGUACUUUUUUUCAGCAAUUACUUUUCAAUCAAAGUUCUGAAAGUUUCAAUGAUACUGAGAUAAGUAAAUGUCAUCGGUACUUUUUCCAGUAAUUGGUUAAAUUGUUAAUAAUUCAAUUCUAAGGAACAUGAUGAUGGUGAUGAUGAUAAUGUAUCUUCCCUGGAUGAUUAUCAUGAAUACCAUGAUUUCUUCUUCUUGGAAAAGAGAAAGUUCUAACAUGGAGACUCUCGAGUUCUAAUACACCUACGCUCAAAAGUGAAAACCAAGAAAUCAAUAGUCACCAUUCAGCCUUUGGGAAACUUUCACAUCCCAAUUGAUAAAAUAUUCAAAUGAAUUUUAAAUGAAUUCAGUUAAUAUCAAUUUUGAUGAGUUUCCCUGUUUUAUUUUUCUCGAUGAAUUAUCAUCAACAAUUUAACAUGAAAAACAGUUAAGGAAAUUGAGAAUUCCCUUAAUUGUAAUUCUGUAUCAUCAUUGCAACUAUUGGACUUGAUUGAUUAACUUAAAUUAUCAUUUUCACCGUCACGAAAACUUUGAUUGCAAAAUUAUCUUGAGAUUGUCAACUAAUUACAAGUUUUGAUUUUAAUUACUAACAAUUAAAAGGUUUCCAACUCUAGUUAAUUUUGAUUGAUUCAUUAAUUAGAUUUAAAAUUUUUGUUUUUAAUCAAUGACUCAAUUUGAUUAUCUAAUCAAAUCAAUGAUGAUCAAUACAAUAUAAUUCAAUUAUUAUAUUCAAUCAAUAAUAAUUGUAACUCUAAUUGUUGAUUGUAUAUUAAUGGUUAAGAAAUUGGCCUGUAAUAAUUUAUUAAUUGCUGACAAGAAAAAUUGAUUACAAAAUGAUUAUACAAGACAGUUAAUUGUUGUUUCCCAUUCAAUUGUUUAAUCUUAAUCUAGUUCAUGAACAAAUCAAUUUAAUCCAACAUGUAUUUACUUAAAGUAAACAUAAUGAUUAAUAUUAUUGAUACAAAUAAAUAAUAUUUAUCAUCAAUGAAAAUGAUUAUAUUUCAUUUGAUUAUGUUCAUCUCAACAAUCAACUAAAUUUAGCCAGAACACAAUUUAACAAUGAUAAUUAUAUUCAAUUGUUGAUUUUGUAUAUUAAUAUAUAAAUUACAAUGUUGAAACAUAGUCAACAAUUGAUAAUUGUUAUUACUAAUAACUGUUAAUCAUGAUUGUAUAUCAGAUUAAUUGAAGCUAAACAGUUAAUCAAGUAGAUGAUUAAUAGCUUUAAGUUGAGCUGAUAAUCAAAUCAAUCAAUAUGAAACUUAAUUAUCUGAACAAUUUAGUUGAGAGAGAUGAUGUCAAAGUGUUGAUUAACAUUGAGACUAAAAAUAGAAUGACAAUUUAACAAUUACUUGAUUCAAUAUUCAAUCCCAUGAACGGUAAUAUGAAAUGUUUACACUGUUGAUCAUUGAUGUUAACAAUUUAAUGGUUCUCUCAUGUUUCUUGUUGAUAAUUUAACUGAAUCGUGUUAAUCUGACAACAAUUUAAAACGGAAUCCAUGUUAAAAUGAAUUCCUAAGCUUAUAUUUAUUUUUCACAUUCUCAGCAGAAAAAAAUUUACCAUGAAAUGUUCAGAAAAUGUUGAUUUCUUUGUGUGUAUUUUUCCGUCCU